AUUGAACGCUGGCGGCAGGCCUAACACAUGCAAGUCGAGCGGAGCUGCGGACGGGUGAUUAAUGCCUAGGAAUCUGCCUGGUAGUGGGGGAUAACGUCCGGAAACGGGCGCUAAUACCGCAUAAUUUCAGAUAGUCCUAGGUGGGAUUAGCUAGUUGGUGGGGUACAGGCCUACCAAGGCGACGAGCCGUAACUGGUCUGAGCGGAUGAUCAGUCAAACUGGAACUGAUACACGGCCCAGACUCCUACGGGAGGACGCAGUAGGGAAUAUUGUACAAUGGGCGAAAGCCUGAUCCAGCCAUGCCGCGUGUGUGAAGAAGGUCUUCGGAUUGUAAAGCACUUUAAGUUGGGAGGCGUUAUCAACAGAAUAAGCACCGGCUAACUUCGUGCCAGCCGCCGCGGUAAUUC
rnacentral:rRNA from 1 species